AGAAAAGCACUUAACUAUUAGUGAAGUGUCUCAAAUCACAAUAAUGAAAGUAAUGUUGGUUGUGCUACUAGCUUUGUCCAUUUUUUACAAAAAUCUGAUCGUUGAAGCUUUUACGGCUAUGGCUUUACCUCAUCCAAAGCGAAAGCCUGGAGGGUGCUAUGACGAAGAUUAUGGGCAUUUGAAAAUUGGUUCUUUUAUCAUAGACUGUGCGGAGGUGACAUGUUCUUCAGACGGAACGAUAGACAUAAAUGGUUGUUCUUCUAAGGUAGAUGAGACAAGCUGUGAGGACGAUAUUAAAAUGGAUCCCAAAAAACCUUAUCCACAAUGUUGUCCCGUCAUAUGUAGGUCACCCAUUGCCCGUUAUAAGAAGGCUAGUAGGACUACUACCAAACGACCACCGCAAAAAACGUCUAAACCUGCUGUUGGUCCUUGAAUCAGUGGACGGAAAUGUACCAUUUAAAGAAAUGCGUUUUCAAAAUACAUAAUAAGCAACAUUAUUCCUAACUCUUGUCGCACUUAAAUAAAUAAAGUUUUUUCUUCGUU